UUUCUCCUGUACUUUUUUGUAACGAUUCUUCUCCAGCCACUGUUUAUUUUUCAACUGGUUAUUCUAAAAAAAGAUUCCUCAGCAACUAGGUUUCCGCAAGAAACAUUUCCAAGAUCUCCGAAAACACGCACAUAUGUGUAUGUUUCCCCCACAUAUGAUUCUUGUAUGCGUUUAUAUAUAUGUAUAUAUAUAUAUGCGUGUGUGUGUGUGAAUGUGUUUUUGUAUGUGAAUGAGUUACUUGGCGCAACCCAGUCUAAUUAUAUGAAAAAACAGUAAAAAUCCAAGGAAACUAGUGAUCUGCAUCGGCAGAAAAUAAGAAUACAAAUACUUCUAACAGUGAAAUGAAUUUUAUGACGUGAAGAAGAGAAAUCUAAUUAUAGAUGUGUUCUUUGGACUGCAGCCAUGCAGGGAUACCACCUUGAAGGAUCUAAUUGGAUAUAUCAACCUCUGUAUUUAUUUUUUUAAAGCCUGGCACUUAUUCUAUUGGUAUCCUUUUGUUGAACUACUGAGUUACAGAUUGUACUUGGUGAUAUGAGAGACAGUUGGUUGCUUAUUAUAUCUAUUAGGCUUAGCAACUACAUAGAGACUACCUCACACACACACAGACACACAUAUAUGCACGCUGGCACUCACACAUUAGAAAAAAGAAUAGAAAUAACUUUUCUGAUAAUUUUUCAACAUCAUCAUCAUCAUCAACAUCAUCAUCAUCAAUAAUAUCAUCAUCGUUGUCAUUUAACGUCCACUUUCCAUGCUGGCAUGGGUUGGACGGUUUGACUGAGGACUGGCAAGCCAGGAGGCUGCACCAGGCUCCAAUCUAUUCUGGCAAGGCUUCUACAGUUGGAUGCCUUUCCUAAUGCCAACCACUCUGAGAGUGUAGUGGGUGCUUUUUACAUGCUACUGACAAGGGGGCCAGUCAGGCAGCACUGGCAUCAGCCACAACAACGAUUUCACUUGACUCAGCAGAUCUUCUCAAGCACAGUAUAUUGCUCAACAAUUGAAGGGUACUUUUAAAGGGCCAGUUAUGCAACACUGGCAUUGGCCAUUGCUAUGAUCUCAUUUGGCUUUCCAGGUUUUCUCAAUCACAGCAUAUCUCCAAAGGUCUUGGUCACUUGUCAUUGCCUCUGUGAGGCCUAACAUUUGAAGGUUGUGCUUCACCACCUCAUCCCAGUCUUCCUGGGUCUACCUCUACUAGUGGUUCCCUCCACUGUUAGGGUGUGACACUUCUUCACACAGCUGUUCUCAUCCAUAUGCAAUGCAUGACCAUACUAGCACAGUCGUCUCUCUUGCAUACCACUACUUUAAUAAUUAGAUGCCUAUAAGUUCACAAAAGAUGACUCUGGUAGGAGUUUUUUGCUUAAAAGAAAAGCAGUUUUCAAACUGCUUUUAAGCGAGAAACUCCUAUUAGAGUGACCUUUUGUAAACUUGGAAACAUCUAAUUAUUAAAGUGGAAAAAUUAUCAGAAAACCCAUUUAUAUAUAUAUAUAUAUAUAUAUAUGUGUGUGUGUGUGUGUGUGUGUGUGUGUGUGUGUGUGUGUGUGUGUGUGUG